GCAGUAACAAAGAUAUAUUUACCUUUUGCUCACCGUUCUCAUUACCUGUAUGUUCCUUUUUCUUCAAUUACUCUAUAUUUUGAAACAGGCGCAAUAGAAUGACCGCACAAUUAUUUUACACCAGAUGAGAAGAUCGAUGAUGAGAAGAUUGAUGGGGAAUGACAGGAUGUAGCACCAAAAGCAUUGCCCUUCUUUACAUUUUGCCAAAAUGUGACUCAUACACAGGACAAGGUAAUCCAUAAUUUGUCUUAUCUACAUAUUCUGAU